rnacentral:lncRNA from 1 species
AGAAUUUCAAAAAGAAAAAUGGGGGUCACCGGGCAAAUUUUUUCAAGGCAUUUAAAUGGAUAAAACCAGAGGAUUCCGAAAAUCUGACAAAAAAUCAAAAACAUGACAAGCCAGCUUCCUUAAACUUCAGAGGAUACAAUAUUCUGAGAUAUUGUGAAAAAUAAGCAGAUAACCAAGACAUUUACUAAAAUGAUUAUAAUGAUGAAAUAAACAAAAUUUUCCUAAAGUGCACAGGAAGUGCAUCAAAUAAUUUCACUGGGUAGUAAUGGCAAAGAAAUUUGUCUGUAGCCCGCUAGGUAUAUAAAAUAGUACUUUUUGUAUUAUAUUCGCUUGGACUAAUACGUCUGGAAUGUUAAUACAUGUAUUUUUUUCUACGUAAUUAUGGUAUAAAUACAGGGCGGACAAAAAGUGCUUGUGUUUGUGUAAGAAAAUGUCUGAAACAAAGAUGCACUUUACUACAGGAUAAUGUUCCUCUCUGAAUCAUGCUCUUGAGACGUCAGCUUACAUUACCUAUGUUAUAUUUAUUAACGUUUUAUGUAAUACGGUCACACAACAGACUAAAUACCUUCUUACUGCUGACGUCACAGACGAUCCUAGUUAUUUAUAUAAGCUAUAAAAAUAGUCGGUACGCUGAUCAGAGAGGUACUACAAUCACGAGAUGUUUAACCUUGGUUAACCGCCAUAGUUUUUCCAAGGUCAACUAAAUGUAUAUGUACUUUGUGUUGUUUGUUCUGCAAGUAGUGUAAUUGAUUUGUUGAUUUGUCCUAAUGAAGAUUGGAAAGACAAAUAUGUCAUUUCUACUGACAGUGAUCAUUCCUGAUAAUUAUAAAUGUCGGUAUUUUUACAAAACUGUAAAAUAAUGACAAAUCAUGCACUUAUCUAUUUUCGAGGUUAUGUCUGGUGUUUUCUAUUAUAGAUGGAAAUUAAUUUAACACGAAUGAUAAAUGAAUAAAUAUAACAUGAUUGAUCUUUAUCUGAACAUUUUUAAAUGAAAACAAUCACACAAAACAUAACAAAGUUCUCUUAUGUGUUUCAAAACAUUAAUUCUAAAAAACUGUUCACGAGCAGUGAGACCUCAGUGAGACAAAAUGAUACUUGUACAAAUUACUUGGUAAUGUAGUUUUAUGCUUUUCUGUUAUUUUUCAAUUUGUACAUGUCAACGUGAAUAAAUGUCUGAUUAUUCAUUUUGUCGAUAUUUCUUAUUUGGACACAGUGACUUUUAUGCACCGGUCAUUGAAACUAUGCAUGUUUGAAACCCAUUAUUUAUACUGAAGUUAUAAUUAAUCUUAAUGCCAGUAAACAACUCAAACAUCUAACACAUGAGAUUUAAAUUAAAAGAACAAUAGACUGCGACUAAAACUGAACUCAAAAAAUGAUACAACCUUGUAUAUGUACGUGGGCGCCGUCAUAAUGAUUUUCAAUUGUUUUGAACGUGUCACCGUUGAUGUCUGGAGUUUUGGGGAAUAUGUGAGUGUUUCUAACAGUCUAGCUCCUUAACUUCUUUGAUAUACCAGUAUUAUAACAAGACACAAGUUUGCGUCCGAAAUAUUAGUACAAUAGAAUAGUACUGAUGAUGUUGAUGAUCCGUGAUGGGUGAGAGAAAAAAGAAAUAAAAACACCAAAAGGUCGGUCAAAAACCAGACGAUGAAAAACAGACAACUCAUUGACACUGAGAAUCGUGAUUUUAUGCAAAAUAAAUAACCACCAAUUAAGCCAAAAAAAUAACCACAAUUUAUGAUAACAAUAACAAAGUUGGUACAUCCUGGUAUUUAUGGUGAGUUUAUUUCAAGGUAAACUAAUAAUCGUAUAAACUGUCAUUUCUUAAAAUCUUAUAGAAUCCACCGUUUAUUCUAAAAAAAAUCUUUUAGAAUCCACCGUUAAUCUCUAAAAUACAC